GAUUAACGCUGGCGGCAUGCCUAAUACAUGCAAGUCGAACGGAAGCAGCAAUGCUUUAGUGGCGAACGGGUGAGUAACACGUAGGGAACCUACCUAUACGACGAGGAUAACUACUGGAAACGGUAGCUAAAACUGGAUAGGAUCAAUUGAGGCAUCUUGAUUGAUUUAAAGAUCCUUCGGGAUUACGUAGAGAUGGCCCUGCGGCGCAUUAGCUAGUUGGUGAGGUAACGGCUCACCAAGGCGACGAUCUGUAGCGGGUCUGAGAGGGUAAUCGGCCACAUUGGAACUGAGACACGGUCCAAACUCCUACGGGAGGCAGCAGUGGGGAAUAUUGCACAAUGGGCGAAAGCCUGAUGCAGCAACGCCGCGUGAGCGAUGAAGGCCUUUGGGUCGUAAAGCUCUGUCCUUGGGGAAGAAACAAAUGACGGUACCCUUGGAGGAAGCCCCGGCUAACUACGUG
rnacentral:rRNA from 1 species